rnacentral:ncRNA from 1 species
UGGUGAACAAUUUAUUGUUUUAAAAGGGAAUCCGAUGUAAAUCCGGAGCUGUACCCGCAGCUGUAAACCUCUAAAAAUGACUAUACUUCAUGCCACUGAUCAUAUUAUCGGGAAGGCGUAUAGUCCGAGGAAGCCAGAAAACCUGCCAAAAAUAUUU